rnacentral:misc_RNA from 1 species
UCUCCGUUGGUGAACCAGAGGAGGGAUCAUUAAGGGAGCCUCGAAAAAGCCAAAAACACCUGCGAACCUAUCUUCUCUCCACGCUCCGACGGAUCGCCCCAGGGGAGGCAUCGGCGGCAGGAACCCGCCUGCCCGCACCCACAGUAACUCCUCGAAAGUCUUCUUAGUACUGAAGUACACGCUCACAACUUUCAACGAUCGAUCUCUUGGUUUCGGCAUCAAUUAAGAACGCAGCAGAUCUGAACAGCACACAUCUCAACGCCAGUCAGCAGUCGUCAC